rnacentral:rRNA from 1 species
GACGAACGCUGGCGGCGUGCCUAAUACAUGCAAGUAGAACGCUGAAGGAGGAGCUUGCUCUUCUGGAUGAGUUGCGAACGGGUGAGUAACGCGUAGGUAACCUGCCUGGUAGCGGGGGAUAACUAUUGGAAACGAUAGCUAAUACCGCAUAAUAGUAGAUGUUGCAUGAUAUCUACUUAAAAGGUGCAAUUGCACCACUACCAGAUGGACCUGCGUUGUAUUAGCUAGUUGGUGGGAUAACGGCUCACCAAGGCGACGAUACAUAGCCGACCUGAGAGGGUGAUCGGCCACACUGGGACUGAGACACGGCCCAGACUCCUACGGGAGGCAGCAGUAGGGAAUCUUCGGCAAUGGACGAAAGUCUGACCGAGCAACGCCGCGUGAGUGAAGAAGGUUUUCGGAUCGUAAAGCUCUGUUGUAAGAGAAGAACGAGUGUGAGAGUGGAAAGUUCACACUGUGACGGUAUCUUACCAGAAAGGGACGGCUAACUACGUG